rnacentral:lncRNA from 10 species
UGCGCCCUUCUCGGGUCCCCUAGGUCGCGGGGCAGCCGGGGCGGAAGGGGCUUGUUCAUUAUUUUGAGAGUUUGUUGUGAACGUCAUAACCUUUCGUCCUUAAAUAUUGCCGAUACUUGACCUACGCAAGAGACAAUGUCAUGUGAUUCAGCCUAAUAUCUCAGAGGAUGCAGCAUUCAAGGUUCUAUCUUGGAAGCAGAGACUGUGCCCUCACCAGAUGCUGAACCUGCUGAGCACCCUGAUCUUCCACUUCACCUUCAUCAGAACUACUGGGGCUGUGGCUGAGAUGUCACAUGGCAGAUAGGAUCACAAAUUUCUGUUGUAUCUGGAUGGAGAUCAGCAGGAGGAUCUAUGGGUACUUCAAAGAGGACAUCCUCUCCUGAAGAACAGAAGAACCUGAAAUGUU